AUUUAAAUAGUUUAAUUAAAACAUUAAUUUGUGGAAUUAAAAAUAUGGCUAUCCAUUUUAAAUA
rnacentral:tRNA from 1 species